rnacentral:lncRNA from 1 species
CGCAGUGCUGCCCCUUUCUAAGGGCAGGGACGAAGGACUGCGGACCUGACAGUUCUUGGGCUUGAGUCCAGCGGCAAGCUCCCUCCUGAGUGUCUGAAACCGUCAGUUCACUGCCUCAUGUGAAAGUACCCAGUUCUUGGUAACCUGACACUUCCCUUUUAAAAGCCACCUUUUCUCUAUCUCUGGCCUGCCACGAUUCUUCCUGUGCUCCAUAGGAGGACCCAUUGGAUCCCCGGGCUGGCUGCAGGGCCCACACCUGGGUUAGACCUCUCACAGGGACGCUGCUGCCACUGUAAUAAAGCGUGCCUACACGCUUCUGAAACUGGUGAAGGCACAACCUCAGUUCUGUGAAAGGCGGACACAGCAGGACAGAAUCUCCGUGGACAUCUGUCUGGAGGAGGAAUUUUACUGCGACAUUUUAAAGAAACAAAUUUAAUCGAUUUCCAAGGCUAGAGUGUGACAGAAAUCUAAAAGAUCAACUUCAUCGUGCAGAAAGGAGCAUAGAAAAAUGGAGAAAAGAAGAAAACAGCAAACCAUUCUGAGUACUGUGGAAACAAACUAAAAGUGGUCUUAGAAAGAAAACAGAGGAAGAAGGUCUGAGUAGUCCCAGGGACUCCAGAGGCCAAGAUGGGAAAACCACCCAGGCGAGACAGGGGAGAUCGAAGCCACAGGGAAUCACUGUCACAUUCCUCUGCUGGACCUGAAUGGUACUGGUGCCAGCUAGAGCCAUCUGGUCAACCUUAGACAUGUCAAGGCAGGAGCCACCUGAUCGACCUUAGACUUGGCAAGCUGGUGGCUAAAUCCAAUGCUCACUGCCGACAUCUGUCUCAAAAUAAACAAAAAGUCCAACAGUGAAUAUUUAACAAUAACAAAAAUAUAAUACCAAACAAUAUUAAAGACCAAUAAUAAAUAAGUGGGAGUGAACAAAGGUAAAAGGUAACUAAUAUCACAAUUAAAAUAUUCUGCUCUCUCACACUCUCUCUCUCUCUCUUCCCCUUUCCAUUUGUCGCACCCAGGCUGGAAUGUGACAAAAAAAUAUAAAAGGUCAAUUUCAUCAUGCAGGAACGAGUGUAGAAAAAGGGAGAAAAGAACAAAGAAGAAAAACAACAGCAAGUCUCUCUAAAACUUCAGUUAGUUUCACUGUAGAAAAAAAAUUGAAAGUGGGGUUAGGAAAAAAAGAGAGGAAGGAGGAGGAUAAGUUCAGGUAGCCUGAGGGACUAGGGAAGCCAAGAUGGGAAGACCACCUGGGUGACACUGGGAAGAUUAAGACCACAGUGAAUCAUGAUCACAUCCCUCUGCUGUACCUGAAUGGUACUUCCAAAGGCAAGAGCCAUCUGGUCAUCCUUAGUCAUGGCAAGGCAAGAGCCAUCUGGUUGACCUUAGACUUGGCAAGCUGGCAGCCAAGUCCAGUCUUCUCAGCUGACAUCUUGGAGAGAGAGACAGACAGACAGACACAAACAGCGAGACAGGAGAAAAUCUUAAUUGUGUUAUUAAUUACUUUUCACCUUUGUUCACUCCAAACAGAAACAAAUCCAACAGUGAAUAUUUAACAAUAACAAAGAUAUAACAACAAACAAUAUUAAAGACAAAUAAGUGGGAGUGAACAAAUGUAACAGGUAAUUAAUAUCACAAUUGAGUUCUUCUAAUCUCUACUCUCUCUCUUGAUUUCUCUCUGUCAACUUCUUCAAGCAGGAAGGAGCACAGGAAAAUAUAAAGAGAAAACAAGAAAAAAAUAGAAAGUCACUCUAAGAACUGUGGAAACAAACUGAAAGUAAGGUUAGAAAAAACAGAGGAAGAAUGUCGAAAUAGUCUGAGGGAAUCAGGAGGCCGAGAUCAGAAGGCCACCCUGUAGAGACCUGGAAGACCCCCAGGGCACAGUGAAUCACGAUCCGAUCCCUCUGCUGGACCUGAAUGGUACUGCUGCUGAUGACAGCCAUCUGCUCGACCCUAGACUUACCAAGCUGGUGGCUAAAUACAACCAUCGUGGGAAGAUCUGUCUCAAAAGAAAAAAAAUCCAAAAGGGAAUAUUUAACAGAAACAAAGAACUAACCAUGAACAAUAUUAAAGACCAAUAAAUAAAUAAGUGGGAGUGAUCAAAGGUGAAAGGUCAAUUAUAUCACAAGAUCUUCUCUCUCUCUCCAUUUGUCACAACCAGGCUGGAUUGUUCCAAAAAAAAAAAAAAAUUUAGAAGGUCAAAUUCAUCAUGCAGGAAGGAGGGUAAGAAUAUAUAUAGAGAGAAAAGAACAAAGAAGAAAUACAACAGCAACUCACUGUAAGUACUGUAGAAACAAACUGAAAGUUGGGUUAG